CCUCGGCAGGGCUGGCUCCUCGCCUCUCCACGCCAGGCUGUUCACGUCCCUUCCGUUCCCAAGUGCUUGUGUGCUCACUCACUUGCACCGUCCUGCAGUGGCCCACGAGGCAGGCCAGCGUGUGUAUUAGGGAGCGCUCCCUGGGAAUGUGACUUUCCCAAGGUCACCUGGAUAGGCUGUCUCCUCCUCUGAGGUCCCCACCUCCAAACCCCACUUUCCCCACAUGUGGCCUGAACAGACCAUCACAAAGCUUUAGAGGCUUCUUCCGAGGACACCAGGCAUUGGCUCUGGGUCAGUGGAGCUUCCAGAACCUUGGAAUUCUGCCCUGGGCCACGUGUCUGGAACUUGCCCAUCUCCUGGUGGUUGGCAGAUCUGAUGCAGGCCUGAGAACGUCUUCACACGGUGGAGGAGGCUUUUGGGGUGACUGACCACUGGGCUGGACAUUGCCCCAGGUGUGGUUCCCGUGGAAGUGGUGAGUCACAGCCGUGGUUGCUGGCCUGCUGCUGUACCCAUCUGCCUGUCUGCAGGCGUCUCACUUCCUCCUGAGAUGGAGAGAGACAAGGGCCCUGGGUGCUGGGGCACCAGCUGCUUCGGCCCUGCCUGGUUACUUCAUCUUCCUCAACUCACUUUGCUGUUCACCACCCAUCACCGUUACCACCUGGAAUCACCCGGAGAAGAGUGGAAGGAAACGUGAAAAGUAUGUGUGUCAUCACGUCAGGCUCUGGGGCUGCCCAGGUCUGCCAAGGAGUCCGAAAUUCCACCUCUCACUCCUUUAAGAAACCGUACUACACAAAGCCUCCACUGAAACACAGUAUGUCACCCUGACGAGCUGGUUAUUAGCCCAUUAACUCCCGGAACACACUGGCUCAGAGCAGCCUGGUGGCCACCUGUCUGCGGAUCAGUUGCCCGGAGAGGGAAGAAGGGAAGGAUUGUGUGUG
rnacentral:lncRNA from 1 species